GACGAACGCUGGCGGCGUGCUUAACACAUGCAAGUCGAACGGAAAGGCCCUGCUUUUGUGGGGUGCUCGAGUGGCGAACGGGUGAGUAACACGUGAGUAACCUGCCCUUGACUUUGGGAUAACUUCAGGAAACUGGGGCUAAUACCGGAUAGGAGCUCCUGCUGCAUGGUGGGGGUUGGAAAGUUUCGGCGGUUGGGGAUGGACUCGCGGCUUAUCAGCUUGUUGGUGGGGUAGUGGCUUACCAAGGCUUUGACGGGUAGCCGGCCUGAGAGGGUGACCGGCCACGUGGGGACUGAGGAGCGGCCCGGCCUCCUACGGGGGGCAGCGGGGGGGAAUAUGGCAAAAGGGGCGGAAGCCUGAUGCAGCAACGCCGGGGGGGGGAUGGCGGCCUUCGGGUUGUAAACCGUUUUCGCCGGUGAAGAAGGGGGGGUGACGGUAAUGGGUAAAGAAGCCCCGGCUAACUACGGG
rnacentral:rRNA from 1 species